rnacentral:rRNA from 1 species
AAAGGGCGCGUAGGCGGCCAUUCAAGUCGGGGGUGAAAGCCUGUGGCUCAACCACAGAAUUGCCUUCGAUACUGUUUGGCUUGAGUAUGGCAGAGGUCAGUGGAACUGCGAGUGUAGAGGUGAAAUUCGUAGAUAUUCGCAAGAACACCAGUGGCGAAGGCGGCUGACUGGGCCAUUACUGACGCUGAGGCGCGAAAGCGUGGGGAGCAAACAGGAUUAGAUACCCUUGU